rnacentral:rRNA from 1 species
GACAGAGGGUGCAAACGUUGCUCGGAAUCACUGGGCGUAAAGGGCGUGUAGGCGGGAAGGAUAGUCAGAUGUGAAAUCCCUGGGCUCAACCCAGGAACUGCAUUUGAAACUCCCUUUCUUGAGUGUCGGAGAGGAAAGUGGAAUUCCUGGUGUAGAGGUGAAAUUCGUAGAUAUCAGGAGGAACACCGGUGGCGAAGGCGGCUUUCUGGACGACAACUGACGCUGAGACGCGAAAGCGUGGGGAGCGAACAGG